rnacentral:rRNA from 1 species
GACGAACGCUGGCGGCGUGCUUAACACAUGCAAGUCGAACGGAAAGGCCCUGCUUUUGUGGGGUGCUCGAGUGGCGAACGGGUGAGUAACACGUGAGUAACCUGCCCUUGACUUUGGGAUAACUUCAGGAAACUGGGGCUAAUACCGGAUAGGAGCUCCUGCUGCAUGGUGGGGGUUGGAAAGUUUCGGCGGUUGGGGAUGGACUCGCGGCUUAUCAGCUUGUUGGUGGGGUAGUGGCUUACCAAGGCUUUGACGGGUAGCCGGCCUGGGAGGGUGACCGGCCACAUUGGGACUGAGAGACGGCCCAGACGCCUACGGGAGGCAGCAGUGGGGAAUAUUGCGCAAUGGGCGGAAGCCUGAUGCAGCAACGCCGCGUGCGGGAUGACGGCCUUCGGGUUGUAAACCGCUUUCGCCUGUGACGAAGCGUGAGUGACGGUAAUGGGUAAAGAAGCACCGGCUAACUACGUG